ACGUUGAAAACACUAGUUCUCGUACGGUUACCUAAGUUAAGCAACGUCGAGCCAGGUCAGUAACUAGAUGGGUGACCGCUUUGGAAUACCAGGUGCUGUAA